rnacentral:miRNA from 1 species
AGCCAAAAGUGGUUCUUUACCUAA